rnacentral:tRNA from 1 species
GGUGUUGUAGCUCAGUGGUAGAGUGCUUGCCUAGCAUGUGUGAGGCAUGGGUUCAAUCCUUAGCACCA